CCUACGGGGGGCUGCAGUGGGGAAUAUUGGACAAUGGGGGCAACCCUGAUCCAGCCAUGCCGCGUGUGUGAAGAAGGCCCCCGGGUUGUAAAGCACUUUCAGUGAGGAAGAACGCCUGGUGGUUAAUACCCAUCAGGAAAGACAUCACUCACAGAAGAAGCACCGGCUAACUCCGUGCCAGCAGCCGCGGUAAUACGGAGGGUGCGAGCGUUAAUCGGAAUUACUGGGCGUAAAGCGCGCGUAGGUGGCUUGAUAAGCCGGUUGUGAAAGCCCCGGGCUCAACCUGGGAACGGCAUCCGGAACUGUCAAGCUAGAGUGCAGGAGAGGAAGGUAGAAUUCCCGGUGUAGCGGUGAAAUGCGUAGAGAUCGGGAGGAAUACCAGUGGCGAAGGCGGCCUUCUGGACUGACACUGACACUGAGGUGCGAAAGCGUGGGUAGCAAACAGGAUUAGAUACCCCGGUAGUC
rnacentral:rRNA from 1 species